rnacentral:rRNA from 1 species
AGUGAACGCUGGCGGUAGGCCUAACACAUGCAAGUCGAACGGCAGCACAGUAAGCGCUUGCUCUUACGGGUGGCGAGUGGCGGACGGGUGAGGAAUACAUCGGAAUCUUCUUUUUCUUGGGGGAUAACGUAGGGCCACUUACGCUAAUACCGCAUACGACCUACGGGUGAAAUCAGGGGUUCUUCGGACCUUUCGCGAUUGAAUGAGCCGAUGUCGGAUUAGCUAGUUGGCGAGGUAAAGGCACACCAAGGCGACGAUCCGUAGCUGGUCUGAGAGGAUGAUCGGCCACACUGGAACUGAGACACGGUCCAGACUCCUACGGGAGGCAGCAGUGGGGAAUAUUGGACAAUGGGCGCAAGCCUGAUCCAGCCAUACCGCGUGGGUGAAGAAGGCCUUCGGGUUGUAAAGCUCUGUUGUUGGGGAAGAAAAGCAGCGGGUUAAUACCCCGCUGUUCUGACGGUACCCAAAGAAUAAGCACCGGCUAACUUCGUG